GGGUUCCCCGCCCCAUUUUUAUUAAUGAAGCGAACUGGAAACAGUCAACCACGAGUUCAAACAUAAUAAGAUCAGGUUCUCUCCCAAGCACACCCCAACUCUCUUAAUCAUUACAGACCCGGAACAGAAGGGACAACUACGGAGAACUAACACCCUGGCAUAAUCCCAGCCAUCUGGACGUCUGCGCUCAUCUCCAGGCAAUCCGCAUCAGCUCCCCGCGCUUUUUGUCCAGCAGAAGAAUACAUCUUUGUAGCAGCACUGCUUGAUUGUCGUCGCAGAGCACUUUCCAUUGCUGUAGAUGAGACCUUAGUUUCACAAGAACACAUGCGGCAUUUCUCCAAGUGCGGCCCUGAAAGCAGAAUUCAUUUCUUAGUUUCCAAAGGCUCCAUAAGGAUGCAGCCACUACCAAGUUUAGCACAGGCUUCUUUUUACAUUUUUGCCACAAAGCAAUAACAUCACAAAAACUGGUAAAGAAAGGGCAUUCAAAACAGGCAGAGACAACUUCCCAAACUAUUUUUGCAACAAUACAAUCAAACAGCAAAUGUUGCACCGUUUCAUUCUCAUUGCAAAAAAGGCAAGUCUUGUCAUCAACCUGUCUCCUUUUGGCUAAAUUAUCACGAGUAAGAAUCUUGUUGUAAACCCCCCGCCAAAGAAAGACAUGUAUUUUUUGAGGGCAUAGAACUUUCCACAGUUUGUCAUCUACAGCCGAAAUUAUCCCCCCAAAAUUGAUCUGCUUAUAAAGAGACUUGACUGAGUACACCCUGUUAGUCUCCAAAUUAAGACCAAAUGGGGGUGUCAUUCUCAUCCCGUAACUGAGUUUUCCUAACCAUUUCUACUAAAUGGUUCCAUCUUUCAAAACCUAUCAUAUCCACACAUCUGCGAAAAGUUAGCUUAAGUUGGACCCCAUCCCAGACUUGUGCCACAGAGCACUCAGUUUGAUUACAAAUGAUGAAAAGGUCCCAGAAUUGAGUUUUGAGGGAACAAUCCCCUACCCAAAUGUCGUGCCAGAAACUAAUUCUCUUCCCAUUUCCCAGUUGCCACUUAUAAAAGACUUUGGCGGCUGAAAAGGCCCAAGUGGCACUCCUCCAGAAUGUGGAGCCAACCCCACAUUUGGACCAGAGGAUGUUGGGAGAUUCAAUAUCAUAUUUAUAUGUGAUCAGUUUCUUCUAGUCACUAUCAUUGUUAUCAAAAAAUCUCUUGCUCCAGGAACCCAAUAGAGCCAUGUUGAAAUCCCUUAUGUUAGGGAUCCCUACACCUCCAAACUCCUUUUUUCUAGUAACCAUGCCCCAGUUAGCUAAAUGAUAUUUAUGCUGGUUAUCCACAUUCCCCCAGAAAAAAUGAGCCACUUGAGAGUUAAUAGCAUUGACAGCCCAUUUGGGAAACUUAAUCAUAGACAUCAAAUAUGCAGGAAUACUCACAAUACAAGCACACAGUAAAAUGAUUUUUUCUUUGUAAGUAAGGUAUCUCCCCAACCAUUCAGAGAUGUUUUUAAUAAUCCUAUCAAUGAUAGGUUGCAAGUCCUCUUUCCUUAGUUUGUCAUAGUGCAGAGGCACUCAUAAGUACUUAAUUGGGAAUUUCCCUAGUUUACAGCAAAAGAUUUGAGCAAAUCCCCAAGCAGUCUCACUAUCCACAUUGUUGGUCAAUAGGUCACUUUUAUGGAAGUUAAUCUUCAUACCCGACAGAUUUUCAAAGCAAGAUAGCAACCAUUUAAAGUUCCUAGCUUUAUCUACAGAAUUCUCCAAGAACAAGAUAGUAUCGUCAGCGUACUGCGGGAUAGCAUGAGGCAGAAGCCCCGAGACCAGACCUUGUGAAGAGGCUUUGUGUAACAUUUUAGAGAACACAUCAGCAACUAGAUUAAAAAGAAAGGGAGACGCUGGGUCCCCUUGUUUCAGCCCCUUCCCAGCUAAGAAAUGAGGCCCCACUGUAUCAUUGAUCCACACACUAAAUGUGCUUUGGAGAAUAAUAGUUGUGAUCCAAGAGAUCCACUUGGGUCCAAAGCCCCUGGAAUGGAGCAUGUCAAAUAGGAAUUCCCAACUAACCCUGUCGUAAGCUUUCUCAUAAUCUAGCUUAAGCACUAGGCCCUGAGAAUUAGUUUUUUUAACCUCAUGAAUCACUUCAUAUGCCAUCACAACACUCUAUAGAAUAUAUCUCCCCUUAAUGAAGGCUGUCUGGUUCAGGGAAAUGAGUCUAUGACCAAUAGGGGACACCCUAUUUGUCAUUGCUUUGGAAAAAAAUUUAACACCACAGUUACUCAGGCUGAUAGGCCUAAAUUUUUUCAUGUAUUUAGCGUUUGGUUCUUUAGGGAUAAGCACAAUCAACGCAAAAUUCAGUCGAUGGAGGUGUAGUUUCCCUUUCUCAAAGUCCCUAGCCAGGGCCAUGAAAUCUGUUUUAAUCACUUCCUAGAAAGUUUGGUAGAAUAAGAAUGACAGCCCAUCAGGGCUGGGGGCUCCAUGUGCAUAUGAGCCAAAAAUGGUUUCUUUAAUUUCAUCUUCAGUGAAAUUCUUUUGCAGCAUAUCAUUCUCCUCCUUCGUAACCAAAUCCUCCUCCUUCCAAAAGGAAGGACCCAGUUUAAUAUUGUGUUUCUCUUCAUAGCGGAACAGAUCCUUAUAGAAGGAUGUUGCUACAUCUAGCAUUUCUUUCGUGGUAUACACAGGUCCGUGUUCACCAUUCAGUUCAGAUAAAUGGUUUUUCCUAUGCCUAUGAUUAGCCAGCGCAUGAAAAUACGCGUUGUUCUUAUCCCCAUCUUUAAUUUUACGGUCUCUAGAAUGUUGCCACAAGGCGAUCUCUUCUUUAUGCCAGAUACACGAUAGUUCCUCUUUAAUCUCGUUCAUACGAGCCCUAUCAUCGUCAUCUAUUUUGUUUUGUUCCGAGAACACAUCCAGAAUAUCGAAUUCUGUCAUGAGAUCUCGCUUUCUUUCUUCAUAUCGGCCUCCAAAUUAAUACUCCAACCUUUCGCUUUUUUCCGAAACAUUCUGGCUUUGUUCAUCCAAAUAUCUAGCGCACAUUCCACCGGAACUAUAGAGCUCCAAACCUCACUGACCAGCUCUUUAAAGCCAGGUUGUUCCAACCACCAUUUUUCAAAACGAAAAGGUUUAGGGGAGGUAACCCUCCUAGCUCCAGUAUCUAAAAUCAAGGGGUCAUGAUCACUCCCAAUCCUAGGAAGUGCCGUCAAAACUGACAGGGGGAAAUGAGCAUCCCAGCCCACAGAAACAAAAACUCUAUCUAUGGCAGCAAAAAUAUGGUCAGUUUGGUUGUUGCUCCAGGUGAAACUUCUAUUAGCAAUAUUAAUCUCCAUAAGAGCCCAUUUAUUGACCCAAUCAUUAAACAAAUAAGUUAAUUGAGGAUUAGUAACACCAUUACUUUUAUCAUUGUUAGACCUAACCAGAUUAAAAUCACCCCCUAGGAUGACAGGGUGUGUAAGGUCAGCCAUCACCUCAUGGAGUUCAGCAAUGAACUCAACCUUAUAUUCAUUAUAAGUUGUGCCGUAAACGGCCACCAGAUGCCAAACAAAACCAUCACUCUUACUCUUAACAGUAACAGAAACACAGUAUUUUUUGUGAGAAAAGCAAAUGAUAUCAAAAAGAUCAUUGUUAAGACCCACAAGGAUCCCUCCAGCAGUAUUAUUAGCAGGUAGCACAUGCCAUGUAAAAUCAUUGUUACUGGAGAUCAUAUUCAACAAACCAUUAUCAAUCUUUUAUCUUUUGGUUUCGAAGAAACCCACAAAGUCAACAUGAUUAUUACUAACAAAGUCCCCAAGGCACUGAAUUUUACCAGGUUGUCCCACACCUCUAACUUUCCAAAAUGCACCUAUCAUUUAACCCUAAAAGGAUGUGACAAGCCACAAGGCUAACUUUUGGUAUUAACUGCGGGGCUUUCUAGAUCCAGGCCAGCAGUGCCCCCUUACCUAAGAUCUAGAGUAGCCUUUUCUGCAACAAGGGAGGUACAGUUAUGUAUAUCAACAUCUGAUGAAACUGGUAAAACAAUCUCAGGAUUCAAAUCAGCAAAAUCAAGACAUUUAAUUUUUACCCUAGUAACUAUGUCCAUAAUGAUAUCCUUGCACUCUUCCCUAUUAUCACCAAUGCAGAUAUCUACCAUUUCAGAAUGGGAAGCAAGGGUAUUAAGAUCCGUGUUAGCAAAAGAGUUACCUUUGAAGGAAGUGGGAAUCUCCAGGUUUUUCUUCAGAAGAUAGGCUUGGGCCUUGCCAUGAUCUUAACAUUUCCAUGAUCUCUGGUUUUUGGUCUGUUUAUCGGGACGGGGCCCCAUGCGGUAUUUCUCUUAGUGUUCAGUUUCUUCUUCUUCUCAGAUUCAGCAUUAUCCAUAGAUUCCAUCAGAGAUAUUUUCACCGACCCAAUGGCCAUAGCUAAGUCUUCAGGUAAACAUUGGAGUUCAGUUUCCAUGUCUUCUUCUUCUCCAUCAGUUUCCUCCAUCUCAAAUUUACUGAGCUAUUGGGAGCAGUAUUCGAGAUGAACAGACAUAGGAAUGUCCGAGCUGUCCUCAGUCAACAUCUUGUAAGAGCAAGGGGUAUUAAUCACAGCCACAUCUUCUUCUCUCUUCCUUUCUUUGUGACCACUAUUCCUAAUUUCUUCCACAAAACUGUCAUGUGCAUCAUCAUUCAUGAAAACUGGAUGGAAUUCAGCUGCAGAAGCAGACAGCCGUUGAACAGAUCUGUUCGAACUUGAAGGGUCAGCUUGUUUGGAUGGGAAGUUGGCUCUGUCCAGCUCAUCAAUUGCUUCAUCUCCAUCAUCAUACAUGUUAUCCUUAUCAUCUUCAUUUCUGCCCAACUCAUCCUUAUGUUCCCCUUCAGUGUGAUCUUGAUCAGGGUCAUCAUCAUUUCCAUCUGUAUCCUCUCCAACUUGUUCAAAGCCCUCCACAGUAAAGAAUAGCAGGUACAACUUCUUCUUCAUUUGCACUAGUCUUUCAAAGGGAAUUUUGCUUGGGUCUCCACAUGCCACUUUUAUCGAAAUUGUUUCAUAGAAACUUUUGAAGAUACCAUUCCAGUCCACAUCCUGCUAAAACAGCCUGCUACUUGGGCAAAAACCUUCCAGGCACACCAUUUUGGGGGAAUUCCAUCAAUCUGAACCCAGGCUUCCUUAAGCUCUCCAAAUUCAUCUAGCAUUCCUACCCAUUCACAAAUCUUAACAGAAACUCCAUCAAUAGGUAAUUCAAAAGCAAGGAAUUCAAUUAGACCGUCCACAUUCUUCCAUGGGGAAAAUCUCAGCAAAUUUUUUUCACCUCUAACUCUCUGAUCUGCCAUGGCCACUCUUUAGUUUUGCAAAAGAUCCCAUUUAGCUGCACCAAAAGCUCUGAAGUAGAAACUUCACCUUUGACCACCUUCAACACAGCACAAUUUUUGUAAUUUAACCAACUAGUCACAGUCGCUACAGGGACAUCCACAUGAUAAAAGCCCAGACUUGCAGCUGCACUACCAAAGUAUGUUGCUGUUGGUUGUGAACAAGCCCAGGCCGCACAAUUAUUCACAUUACGAUUCCCAGCACAGAUGAAGCACUUCUUCGGCUCAAUGCAAUUCCCAACAUAAUGACCAGGCCAACUACAAUUGAAGCAAGUCAUAUCUUUGUAUUUGGGAUCCAGGGGCUGUACCAGAGGUGGUGGCUGAGGUGCAGGGGCAAUCGGAGUUGGGUUUGGCUUCGGAUUCGUCGCUGUCUGUUGUGCACCUCCCGCCGGUCUGGUCCCCCAUUGUGGAGCAGGAUUUGCCACAGCGGGUGCUGGAGCUUUCCCUACCGGUGGUGGUACAUGCUUCUUAGGCGGCUGUGGACGCCGAUUCCGGUAGUUCUGUCCACGAUUCUCCAUCUCUCUCUUCACCACAUCUACAAAUGAACUAGAUCCAAGGGGCAAGCCCGUCACAGAUAGUUGGAAUUUGGUGGGGAUAGGGUCAAAUCGACCAAGACGAUCAACCGGGAAGCAGUCCUCAACAGUGAAAUUCUUGGAUUGAAACAGAUCUCUCCUCACCCAAAAGAGUUUGGGGAUCGCAUAUCUAGGUUUCGGGGGCAGUGGCUGCGGCUUAUGAGGGCGUGGGUGGCGGCGAGGGGAAGGAAUAACCCACAACUGACCAUAAAAGUCCGCCACCUCCUCUCCAUAUACGUCUCCACAGCUAGAAAGCGUAUUCUUCGGUCCCGUUCUCUUACGAACCACAUGACCAACAAUCAACGGUGAUGUGACGGCCACAGGUAGGGCUGCAAACGAGUCGAGUUUGAGCGAGUUGGAGUUGGCUCAGCUCAACUCAUAUUAAAAUUCGAGCGAGCUCAAACUGAGCGAAGCUCAAGAUCGAGUUGUAGAACAUAACUCGUGCUCAGCUUGUAACGAUCUCGAGUCGAUCUCGAGCUAGUUUCGAGCUAAAUGAAACGGUAAAACUUAUAAAUCUAUGGUGAUUGUUCCAACAAGAUAAGGACACAACAUGACACAACUUUGUACGACAAUCUCGUCGUGCUCGGCAAAGCUCAUCUUUGUCUCUUGGGUGAACUAGCAAUAGACGGUGGUCUUCGUGGAUGAAAAACAAGAAAAAGACGGUGCAUAUGCUGGGAAAUUUUGCCAAAAGCAACAUGAUAUUUAACAUAUAGCCGACCACGUAUCAUAAUUAGGUCUAAAUCUUCUAUGCACUUAAUUAAACUUCCAUGUUUGCUGGUAGAUAAAAUGAAGAAAAAUCAUGGACAUCAUAUAUGGUAACAAAUUGUCUUAUUUUUCCUUCAAUAUAUGGCAUGAUCAUUUAACACAAUGGUAUUAUGUCGAGCUGUCGAGCUCAAAUCGAGCGAGCCAAUAUUGGCUCAUGAUCGGCUUGUUUCUCGAUCGAGCUACAUAAAAUGUUCAAACUCGGCUUGUUUCUUUUCGAGUCGAUCUCGAGUCGAGCCAAAAAUUUAGUCAAUCAUAAGUGGCUCACGAGCCUCGAGCUUUUCUUGCGGCCCUAGCCACAGGGCCAGCCAACCUUUUUUUUUUUGAAAUUAUUAUCUGGUCAUCCCUCGCACUAGCGAGCUCGCCGUCGUUUCCAUGGGUCGCCGGAGCCGGCGCCCCGCAUGGUGGUUUACUGGGAUAUAGGCUGCUAGAAGUAGGAAUAGGAUCUACCGCAGCAGGGAUAUCCCUGGAUCGCUCCUCACUAUGGAGACCCGUGGCCAGAAGGCCGAACUCACUAUGGAUCCUUUUAUCAGAAUCGACAAUUUUACAGUGACGCGCUGUGGUUACCUUCGUUGGAAGACGCGGCACCCUUCCUCGAUCUCCCGGCCAUGGUGGCGGAUCCAGACUGCUGCCGCGGAGUCUGUUCCCCACAAGGCGCGCCCGCGGUUCGAGGUCCCGCCGCGCACGCCCGCCGGGAGCCGCAGCCCUCAAGGGCCUCUGGGUGGGCUCUCCCCCGGCGGCAGGAACUCGCGUGGAAUGUUGGCGAGCUGCACCACGGGGGGCGGCCUGAUGUUCAGCCUGGACGGGCUCGUCGUCUUGAACCUCGCCCACCUGCGUGCGGUGACCGGGACUGUCGAUUCCGCCUCCUGAAUCGCCCAGAAUAGCAGCUUGUAUUCCACCCCGCCAUCGUCGCCGGUGAAUGGAGCUCGUUCCGCGAACGUCGAGGUCUGAAUGACCUGGAUGCAUCGGUCGGGCCACUCUGAGCGGUCGGGGAAGCGCCCCAUUACCACCCGCAGCAUCUCCGCUCGCGCUUCCGGCGAGGCAGAGUUGAUCUCCGGCAGCUGCUCCACGGGGACCCGGACCGGAGGUGCAAGGGCUGGCGGCGCCGCCAGAUGCAGCCGCCGAACCCUCCGCACGCGUGGUCUGCGGUCCGGUCCCCCUGGCAUCUCCCCCCGUACUCUCGCUCGCGUCGCGCUUCGAGUAGGUGGAUACAGUGGUGGGGAUUGGGUGGGGGAGGCAGGGACGAGGGUCAAUUUGACCUCGCUCGGCAUUAAUGGCGACUCCAUUAAUGGUGGUAGGUGGGGAAUCCGCCCAGUCGCCCUGCCCGUCGCUCCCGCCCGACAUCAGAAGAGAGUCCCAAAAAUCGUACCUGGAUAUUCCGUUAGCUGUGUCCGUGUCGUACUCGUACGUAGUUUAAUUAUGCUUAUGCCGAGUACUAGUACGUGUAGGUUUAAUUCUUACUACACGUGAGCCUAUAAAAGAUCGUAACCAUGGAAGAUUGCUACAUCACCUCGACCCGUACUUGAUCGAUCAUGGGCCUCUCCCUCGGUAAGGAGACUGCUACUUCGCCUUGCCCGGACCUCCCUC
rnacentral:lncRNA from 1 species